CCUACGGGUGGCAGCAGUGGGGAAUAUUGGACAAUGGGCGAAAGCCUGAUCCAGCCAUGCCGCGUGUGUGAAGAAGGCCUUCGGGUUGUAAAGCACUUUCAGUGGGGAAGAAAGCCUUGGGGCUAAUACCCUCGAGGAAGGACAUCACCCACAGAAGAAGCACCGGCUAACUCCGUGCCAGCAGCCGCGGUAAUACGGAGGGUGCGAGCGUUAAUCGGAAUUACUGGGCGUAAAGCGCGCGUAGGCGGUCUGAUAAGCCGGUUGUGAAAGCCCCGGGCUCAACCUGGGAACGGCAUCCGGAACGGUCAGGCUAGAGUGCAGGAGAGGAAGGUAGAAUUCCCGGUGUAGCGGUGAAAUGCGUAGAGAUCGGGAGGAAUACCAGGGGCGAAGGCGGCCUUCUGGACUGACACUGACGCUGAGGUGCGAAAGCGUGGGUAGCAAACAGGAUUAGAUACCCGAGUAGUC
rnacentral:rRNA from 1 species